rnacentral:snRNA from 1 species
GUGCUAGCUUCAGCAGCACAUGUACUAAAACUGGAACCAUACAGAGAAACUAGCAUGGCCCCUGCACAAGGAUGACACACACAUUUGUGAAGUUAUAACAUUUGGC